CAGGGAGCUGUUAUCCAAAUCCCCACUCUUUCUGACCAGCCAGAAAGCAGAGGACGAUACUUUCUAAUCCCUCAGCUCCAUUUCCUUGUCUGAAAGCUGGCUGUCAUGAUACCCAACAACACUGUCUUGAAGAUCACACCUUAGCAUUUUGCGCAACGCACUGCUCACAUAAAGAAUUCCUAAUAAACAGCUGUUGAGCCUAAAUUGCAGAGGAUGGCUGGCCCAGGAUCGGCUGCAUCAGUUAUAUGUUUUGUACAGAGGAGGGCUGGUCCAGCAUCGGCUGCAUCGGUUACGUGUUUUGUUACUAUAACAAGACAUUCUGGCAAAAGGCACUUACAGAAGGAAGGUCUUAUUUGGGCUCACAGUUCCAACAUGGCCUGGACAUCACAGCAGCAGGAGCACGGGAGCCUGAAAUUAAGCAUUUCACCUGAUAAAGGACACUGACACUACACCUAGUGUCCAUCCCCGAAGAACAGAGAACUGGCCAAUGAAGCCUGAAGCUGAGUAAGGAAGAGUAUUACUGCGGAGUAAAAGUAUCAAAGUGGAGCAGGUGGAGCACACCUGUGAUCCCACCACUUGGGAGGAUCAGGAGUGCAACGUCAUGCUUAACUACACAGAAAGUUCAAGACCAUCCAGAGCUACAUGAGACUAUCUAAAAAAUGCCAAAACCAAAAGUAAACAAAAAACAGUAGCAAUAGAAAUAAAUAUGCUGUCUAGUUGUAUUAAUUAAUUUAUCAAAGGCUAUUCUGGUGAUCAUGGACCCAACCACACAUACAUACAUUGUUUGUUUUUUAAAGAAAUUGUUAUGUAAGAUUUCCUACAGUACAAGGGAAUACUGUGUUCAGCAGAACAUUCCUCUUUGACAUGUUUAUGACAGAAAGAUCCAGAAUCAUCUGUCCACAUAAUGUCCAAUAGCUACUGUUUUCCUUUAUAAACAGAAGGGGGUGGAGGGUUAGUUUAUGGAAUCCAGAAAUUUUUUUUCUUGGCAUAAUAGAUGAAAAGUCUCCAACAAAAAGCUGGGGACUCUGGGCUGAAGACCCACACCCUUGCCUGGGCCCUAGUGGCUGGAAAAGCCUGAGCCUGUCAGCCUUACUCCAGAACUUUCUUCUGGGCAACAUCUGGGGUGAAUUAAGUUUCUGUUCAGUCCCAGAGCCGGCUACAGAUGUAGAGGUGUGAGCGUGCUUCCCAAGAGCUGUAGAUUACAUGGUCAUGCUAUGGACCACUUUUAUUAGAAGUUCAAGCACCACAUUUCCAGAGCUAUGAAGGAUGACAGCGAAGAAGAAAGCCUUUAGAGCUUAAGUUACAACCACAUCUAAUGAGCACAGAGGUGUUCCUCGCUUACAGGGGUAUUGCUUUUCAACUCCUGUAGCUUGAACGAAGCCAGCGAUCAUAACAGUAAAUAUGGGUUGCGAAGGUAUCCCAGGAGGUAUCAUUAGUUACAAAGCACACCCUUUUCUAAUUUGUACACUUCCCAUGUUUCAGGGUUUCCCAGUACUGCUGAAGCCUCCAGAAUUUCAUGUUUCCCUCAGCAGGCUACAAUAACCCUUAGUCUGAAUGACAUGUAUUAUUUCCUCAGCAAACAUAUGAUGUGGGAAGC
rnacentral:lncRNA from 1 species